AUUGAACGCUGGCGGCAGGCCUAACACAUGCAAGUCGAACGGUAGCACAGAGAGCUUGCUCUCGGGUGACGAGUGGCGGACGGGUGAGUAAUGUCUGGGAAACUGCCCGAUGGAGGGGGAUAACUACUGGAAACGGUAGCUAAUACCGCAUAACGUCGCAAGACCAAAGUGGGGGACCUUCGGGCCUCACACCAUCGGAUGUGCCAAGAUGGGAUUAGCUAGUAGGUGGGGUAAUGGCUCACCUAGGCGACGAUCCCUAGCUGGUCUGAGAGGAUGACCAGCCACACUGGAACUGAGACACGGUCCAGACUCCUACGGGAGGCAGCAGUGGGGAAUAUUGCACAAUGGGCGCAAGCCUGAUGCAGCCAUGCCGCGUGUAUGAAGAAGGCCUUCGGGCUGUAAAGUACUUUCAGCGGGGAGGAAGGCGGUGAAGUUAAUAGCUUCACCGAUUGACGUUACCCGCAGAAGAAGCACCGGCUAACUCCGUGCCAGCAGCCGCGGUAA
rnacentral:rRNA from 1 species